rnacentral:rRNA from 1 species
AUGACCGCUUUACCAAUAGUUGAGACUCAAUCUGGAGACGUUUCCGCCUAUAUUCCUACUAAUGUAAUCUCCAUUACAGAUGGACAAAUAUUCUUAUCUGCGGAUCUAUUCAAUGCCGGAAUUCGACCCGCUAUUAAUGUGGGUAUUUCUGUUUCCAGAGUAGGAUCCGCGGCUCAAAUUAAAGCCAUGAAACAAGUAGCUGGCAAAUCAAAAUUGGAACUAGCGCAAUUCGCAGAGUUACAAGCCUUUGCACAAUUCGCCUCUGCUCUCGAUAAAACAAGUCAGAAUCAAUUGGCAAGGGGUCGACGAUUAAGGGAAUUGCUUAAACAAUCCCAGGCAAAUCCUCUCCCAGUGGAAGAGCAGAUAGCUACUAUUUAUAACAAUUCUUAA